rnacentral:tRNA from 1 species
GUCCCUGUAGCUCAGUUGGUAGAGCAUGGUGUUUGCAACGCCAGGGUUGUGGGUUCGUUUCCCACGGGGGGCC